GUAAAAUAUUGAACUAGGGAGUUGAACCAUCAGCAGGGCAGGAUUCUAAAUGGAAAGGUUAUGGCUGAAUGACUAAGCAGAAGAGAACACACAACACACCCAAGGAUUCUUGCAGAAAUACAAGUCCCUGGUGGAUCCUGCAGAGAAGAAGAGAGAAGAUGCUGCAGAAUAGCACAGCCAAAGGAGAGCCACCUGGACUCAAUGGGUGCUGUGGCUGGGGAGUAUCCUUCUUGGUGUACACUGGCUGCCGGGGGCUGGACGAAUUUGGCUGGUGAUGUGAAUCUGCCAGUUUUUAGUUGUUAUUGUGAAGAGUCAAUAUUGCUUUUUUCUCUGCCAGGCCCUAAACACCAGAAGUAAAAUGUCUAAUGGU
rnacentral:lncRNA from 1 species